UAUUUGAAAUCAUUUAUCUUUGAAUUGUUUGAAUUUUAUUUAUUUAUUGUAAAGUCAUUUAAAAUUUUAUUAUAUUCUCAGUUAUAAAUAGUCUAGUCGCGCCCCUAGUUAGAUAUAAAACUUUGAAUUAUAGAUUAUGUCUAUAAUUAUAGAAAUUUAUAUUCUAAAUUUUAAUUUAAAUUGGACCUGAUAGGUUUAAUAUGUUAUGCUUUAUAUUGAUUUGGGCUGAAUAACGUGUUUACAUAAAUCUACAUGUAUUGGGCUUCUAUAUAUAUAUAUACAUAUUUUUCCGGACGAAGAUGGGUAUAUUUAACCCAGUUCAGAUAUUUGCUGAGUAAAUACUUGUUUGAUUUUAAUUUUAAGAUUAGUUCUGACGUGUUGCUCAGCUCCAACAUCCACCAAAUUUUACUUCACCAUUUUUUAGCCACGUAUCAUUCCAGAUUUUUAUCUCAUUCAAAUACCUCCAUCCUCAUCAGCCUUUACCAUUUUUCAUGUCUGAAAUUCCUGUGAAACCUCAAACUUGCUAGUAAAUCUCUUCGAUCAUCUCCUGCUACAGAACUUCAGUUUGGUGCGGCGCGACUAGGACGUGAAUUUUAAAUUCCUGCAGUUAAUUUUCAAAGCUCAAGUUUCAGGCAACUGAUGUUGGAGACGCGUGGAGGGUCGAAUGGGCGCGUCGAAUCUUUUUGAGUCAAAAUAAAUUAUCUUCUUUUGAACUUUGUACAGUAUCAGAUACUUUUGUUUUAGUAACAGCGUUGUUUCUUUUUCAAACUGUUUUUUUUUGGUCAUGUUUGACUUUGUACGUUAUAAUAUCGUUGUGUUAUGUAUAUAUUAGAGUUUGAUAUUUUGAAGUUAUCAAAAAUUAUUGAUUAUACGA